UCUCAGUUCGGAUCGGAGUCUGNAACCCGACUCCGUGAAGCUGGAUUCGCUAGUAAUCGCGCAUCAGCCAUGGCGCGGUGAAUACGUUCCCGGGCCUUGUACACACCGCCCGUCAAGCCAUGGGAGCCGGGGGUGCUUGAAGUGCGUCGCCGCAAGGCGCGCCCUAGAGCAAAACCGGUGACUGGGGCUAAGUCGUAACAAGGUAUC
rnacentral:rRNA from 1 species